GAGCCUUAGGUGUUAGGGGCGCAGAGAAAGCGCUAUAAUCACCGCGCGGGGAGUAGAGGACCGCAAUUAAAACUCAAAAGAGAAGAGACGGGGCCGCGCACACGCGGGGGCGCAUGGUGUAGAUUGAGGCGACACGAGGAGCACCACCCCGCCUCGACACACCCCUAAUACCCCACAGGAGACAGAGUGCCCUCUGGAACAAUGAGACACAGGUCGCGCGGCGCUCGUCAGAGCUCGUCUCGUGAGGUGUGGUGAUGAGCCGCGCCACGCGCGCACCCCGUCCUUUGUCAUCAGCUCGUUCAGGUGGGCACUCUAACGAGACUGCCGGUGACAAACCGGAGGAAGGUGGGGAUGACGUCAAGUCAUCAUGGCCCUUAUGGCCUGGGCUACACACGUGCUACAAUGGUCGGUACAAAGGGUCGCCAAGCCGCGAGGGCGAGCUAAUCCCAUAAAACCAAUCGUAGUCCGGAUCGCAGUCUGCAACUCGACUACAUGAAGUCGGAAUCGCUAGUAAUCGCGAAUCAGCAAUGUCGCGGUGAAUACGUUCCCGGGCCUUGUACACACCGCCCGUCACACCCAUGGGAGUGGGUAUGCACCAGAAGUAGGUUAGUGUAACCGUAAGGAGGCCGC
rnacentral:rRNA from 1 species